CCAAACCUUGUUGCUGCAAGCCAAGCGGCCUUAGCCUAAACACAUCACAAUCACAAGCAUCUUAGUAUACUGCGAGAAAAGGAGAGACAAAGACUCAAGCCUUACUCACCUUUUCUGUUGGUGUGAAAUCAACACCCUAAGGAACACAAAUUUCUUUAAAUAUUUGACUUCUUUUCUCUGUACUGCAAUUAAUAAAAAAAUGACUCUGUAUUUUC